GUACAUUCUGUUAGAUUAAUUGGUGAUGAAAACAUCCACAGAACGAGGGGAGGUGGGGGAAGAGGAAGGUUUGCUUGUCAGAAAUGUCAUUUUGUCAUAAGGAAAAUCAUAGAAAUGCGGGAAAGGAGGGAUCCAUCCUGAUCGUGCAACUGGAAACCUCAUGGAAACAACAUGGAAACCUUCUUCUCUGCCAAAGGAAGAUUAAAACUAGGACCUGUUUAUCACUGAAAAGAAGUGCCCAUCUGAGGUUCUUCCUAUCAGCACAGGAGGCAGAGACAAGAUUUCUAAUGAACCAUUCAGUACAAGCACUUUGAAACUACCUAAUGACCAACAGAUUUCACCUGCAACAGACUUAGGUAAAUACUCAGAACUUUCCAGCUGGAGGUGCAUGUUAUGAAGAGCAUUAAGAGCUGCAGAAUGGGUACUGUAAAGUUUUUACUAACCAGUUUUUGAAAUGAGAUGCUUCUAGCUCAGGAGAGCAUUGAAGGCACAUUUAAAUCCUCCUGAAAACUCUAAGCCAGUGCUUAAGUGCUUUUUGAAAUCAUCGCUGGGGUGAGUCUGAUUUUCAUGCAUCCUUUCUGAAAUCCCUCUCUUCCUUAUUCUUGCAAAUGAGCUGUCCUGCAGGAAAGUUGGUGGAAUGAUAAUUUUCAAGCCAAAGUUGGAGAGAAUUUGUUAGAAACAAGAAUUUGGAGUUCAGAAUUUCUGCCACAGACCUGAUGCAAUGAGUGAUAUUCAUCCAACAGGGAGACUGUGCUAUGCAGAAUGUGUCUAGCUGAAUUUUACUCGCAGCAAAGUGCUCUUGGAUAGGUUCCAAGACAAUAAUUAUUGGAUACCGGGGAGCUGCAAAUAAGUGCUAAGGGAUUAGGAAGCACAGCACUCGCACAGAUAACAUCCCCCCUUUUGGCUGCUCAGAAUCCCAUCUCUGCUCUGGCUACCAUGACAAAAUCUCCAUCUUCUCUUUCCAGCUACUAACUGAUGCUGAGCGAGAUGAAAGUGUUGGGUGCUGGGAGACAUUUUGUAGUAUUUGCCAAGUGCUCAUGCACAAACCCCGAAACUGGGCAGAGGCUUUGGGAGGUCCCAGCCAUGUCUCAUUGGAAAAAUGUUUUCCCAUGAGGCCCAUGGCUGCAACUCAAACUCAGCUGCCCCAUGGCAUUGCUCCACACAAAAGAAAGGGUCCAGCCACACAGCUUGUAAUGCCAAAGAUGGAUACCAACACAGUGGACAUACUGAUGUGAUGAAUGAAUUAACCAAGGAGCAUAAUACCUCAUUGCCAACUGAGAGCAAAUCCUUGAAGUUCAGUGCUAUUCCACUUAAAAUAUUUCAGUUGGAUCUCAAACCAAGAUGUGCAGAAGAAUUGUUACCACUGAAGAAGCUGGAUUUUUUGUCAAGAAGGAGUCUCAUGAUUCCUUUGCUUCAGGGAAAUUUAAAUGAAGAAACGUUCAGUUUGGAGGUUUGCCUAUUCUACUUGGAAAAUGUUAAAAAAUGGGUUGAAGAAAACAAGAAGAGCCAGAAAAGACUGCAAAGGAAAAUUGCCAUAUUUUUAGUCAAGUUUAUAAAUUUUUCCCUGGGACUUUUUGACAAAUGACUGCUCACCAACUUUGUGAGAAUUUCUCCUGGACAUUGCUCAGAAACUUCUGGCAUUUUGCCAUGCAGGUUUGCCUGCUAGAAUUUCUCAAAUGUUUUUUUUUAUUUUUCAUGGGAGGAGGCUGUUUUCUCAAGGAGUGUUGGUGCCUUUUCCAUCCAGUCUCUCUCACUUUUCUUUUCCUAAGUACAGACUUGCUUACAUUCAGAUUAAUUUUGGGCAAGGUCAGGAGUAGUGAAAUGCCCAUAAGCAUAAUGCUGUUGCUGCUGUUUUCACAGGCCAUCUCUGAGAGCAGCUGAAGUUGCAUGUUUUUCUGGCUCUGUUGAGAAGUAAUUUGGAAUAGAGCUCCUUUGACUCAAGCAUUGAAGCCAGACCUAAAUGCUUGAGUGAGAUUUCCACACUAGCAUAAACUGAAGCACAUCCAAACAUCUGCUGCUCAACAUGCCUGAGAGUUAUCUUUCACCCUGCUGCCAGAUUCCUUGGUGCCACAUAUAGAUUUGUAGUCCACUCUGUGGAUUUCUUUUCCUUUUUCCUCUGCUGUGCUCUUCUGAUCAUCCUCUAAUGGACCUGAACCUCUGUCAAAUACAUCUCUUUGCCACUGUGGGCAAACCAUUUGUCUUGAAUGGUGUAUAUCUGCUUGUUUUUUCCCAGAGAACUCUCUUUCUGACUACUAAUACAUGGUUUCUGGUACUGGAGCAUGUGCAGGACAGCAAUGUUCUUGUAGACUGGAGCUCAUUAAGGAUAUUGGUUUGGGGUGAACUAUGGUAACUGGAUUGAACUGUUGCUCCCAGAUCCCUGUGUCUACAUGACUUUGUUCCAAGGAAUUGCUGAGACAACCAAGGAAAGAGUGUAGCUGCUCUAGGCUACCUUUUGCAGUUGAUGAGGUGAGCAGAACAUCAGAGAAUGGUCUGGGGGUGUCCUGUAGUGCUCUUAGCUGUUUUUGUUGACUCACCUCCUGAUGUGGCUGCCUUUGGUAGUUGCAGAGAUGUUCCUGGGAGGGAUGCAGACAGAUGAGGCAACAGGCAGAGUAGAGAGCUUCAGAUGAGUUAUUUGCAUCCAGACAAGGAAAGGGAAAAUAAAAGGACCUUGUGUCACAGUUCAGGGGCUGUCGGGGUUGUAUCAUACUGUCACUGUAGAGUUCAGUGGAUGACAGUUGUUUUGCUUUAAAAAUGGGAGAGUGAACAGUUUUAUUUAACUAAGAGUUAUGGAGAAGUCCAGUAUCCAUCUGACAACAAUCAUGGCAAGAGAAAAGGCUGUUUUUUGCUGCAUGAGCUGUAUGUGAUUAUAGUUCUCUUCUUCCUUUAUCUAUGCAGGUAGCAUACAUGUCAGCACGUAGCUCCAAAACCUACCAUCUUCAUGAGUUGUGUUUAUAGUUAUACACUUAUUAAAUGAUUGUGUGCACUCGUACUCAGACUAUUAUAAAUCCAUUACUUUCCUGAGGCCAUAGGAAAUGGUUUUAAAAUGUGAAGCUUUUCUGCAGGGAAUUGAGAGAGAGCAAUACUAAAGCAGUGUACUUGGUUCACACAGAUCAAUGUAGUGCAAUAACUGGGAUGAGAAACCAAGCUUAAAACAUUACCAAUGUGAUUGGAUGAAAGCUUAACAUGGCGUUGAGUAAUGUCUCAUUAUAAGUAAAAUCUCUUAAACCACCUUUGGGGGGGAAGACAAAGCAAACUGCUUAGUAGCAAAUCAUAAGAUAGAAAUGAUGGUGCUUGCACUUGAAACUGAACUCUGGGUAGUACAAGCACAGUAGCAGUGAAACAUCAAGUUUGGCUGCCUUAUUUUCAAAAUGAUGGUGGUGAUGUUAGCCCAAGUCUUGGGAUGGGAGAUAUCAGGAGGUUUUAGAUAUUUUUGAUCUUUCCAUGAGAACUUUCAUGAAGACAUUCUCUUCAUCACUAACUUAAUUUCUCUGUCUGGAAAAAAAGUUUUCCAAAACUGACAUCUUACUAUCUGAGAAGAGAAAACAACAUCAACAAUAACAAACAACCACAAAGAAAUCAAUAUUUCAGUUGAGAUUUAGAAUUAGUAAGUUUAGUUCCCACUGGGUUCAAACACUCAGGCACAAAUGUUACCCAACGUGCAUUGGAUUUACCUGCGUUUUUAAGACCACGGUUUAAUAGUUCAUCCCAGCACAGAAAGGCACACUGUACAGCUUAGUGUCGUCUUAGUUUUUUACGUGAAUUUAUAUUAAGCUGAAAAUAAAUAUAAAUGACAGGAAAUGUUUCCUCUUCUAAAGCUCUGAGCCACUUACAGGAAUAAUUUUGAGGGAAAGGAGAAGGGAGGGUUUAUAAUAUCUCAGACGUCUGUCAUUAUCUGGCUUGUACAGCUGGAAGCUCACUUGUGAUUAAGUCAGUAAAAUGAAGAUGGUCGUCACUGAAAUGGUGGCCAUUCAUUUGCCCAAUUUUAAGUUAAGAAAAUUAGCACUGAUUAGCAAUGGAUAGGAAAUUCCUGAAAAGAUCCUGUCUGGGGAAGUGGAUUACAUCUCCAUCCCAGGAAGGACAUUGAAGAAUGCAGUUUCUUUGAAAAGCAUAAAACUGUAUUUAAAAAAAAAAUAAUAAUAAUUCAAAGAAAUAAAAUAUCAUCCACUCAUCAGAUCUUCAGUCAGCUUUUCAGCACUCCAUUUAUUAUUAUUUGCCAUCUGGUGUAGCCCUUUAUCUCCCAAAGCAACAGGGAGUAUUCUUCUGGAGCAGGCACACAGCAGCGGCCGUCAUAUGCUAACCGCUUCUGACUGGCGAUCCUAGGGAGCCUGAUUGUUUGAGGCAAAUAAUCUCUCCAAGGACUGCAUGAUUUAUUCCCUGCAUUUGGGUUGCAAGGUUUUUGGAGAGGAAAAAAAAAUUCUUCCAUGUCAUUUACAAUGGACCUCACUCCAAUGAAUGAACAUCUUCUUGCAUAAUAGGAGUGCAGCUUAUCAAAUAAUAAAACCCUGCCACUCUAAAUUGCUGGGAACGGGAACAAUCCAGACGACGUUAAUUCCUAUGUCCACUUUGUCAUGCCAUGAAUUCUUCAGUGGUUUGUGUGUGUGUAGGACCAUGCCUGUCAGCAGGGAAGAGCUUUGGUGUGCUACAGGAAAGCUGCAGAGACAAGUGGGUGUGAUUUCUCAGUUUCUGCUCCUUAAUAUGUUAUCCAAUUUUAAGUGCUACCUAAUGUUCAUUAGGGACGAACAGAAAGCCAUAUGGCCUAACAAAUGUAAUACGUAGUUGAGCAUAUUGGCAGAAUGACUCCCUUACUUCUGUCUCCUAUUCCACUCUCUGCCUGGUGGAGAGAAUAGUGAGGAGGCUGGUUUCACAAUGUUGAGGAGAUGACAGACUUGAUAACUUUAGUAUGGAGUGUUUCCAGAGCUUAACAAUGAAUGGCACAAGCUUUUUAAGGGGAGAAAAAAUAUGCACAGAUUUUCAAACACGUCAGCAGGUUGCAAAGAAUGUGCUGAUUAGCCAUUUGUAUAUUUGACUAGGGACAGUUGGAACUUGGGAAAUCUCAGCUUAAUUUCUAUCACUGCAACAUUUUCCCCGUCUGACCUUGGCAUGCCAUUUUAUCUCUCCAUGUUUGGAUUUCCGUACUUUCUCCCUAGUAAGACUUGGUAUAUGUAUGCUUAAACAGAGGAUAAUGUUUCAAAUGAAUGUUUUCUUGGCCAUCUAGAGAUAGUGACUGCAGAUUAUCUGACAUGUUAGGGGAGCAUUGUGUCCAUCCUAUGGUGCUGGACAUGUCUGUCCUGGAGCCCGGCGUCCUCUCAUGGCAAUGUUUGCCCAGCAGCCCUCCUGCCCUCACAUCUUGCCUCCCAUCUCAAGCUGUGGUCUUGAACCUCUGAUGCAGUGUUUCUUUCUGUGAUCCAAAGUGAUGGAGUACCCACUUCCCACCUUUUGGAAAAUCUGACUUUAAGAUGUGCUGGUAAAUUUGAGGGUUUAUUUUCUUCAACACCUAUACAUUUUGCUGUUAUUUUCUCUAUAGCCAAAACAAGGCUGCAAAGAAUUUUGGGCAGCUUUUACUCUAUUGAAUCGACUGUGCUCAUCUGUAUUUUCAAGCCCAGGGUUUGAAUGUGUGCCCUCCAUAGCCACCAAAUGCCAGCAGGAGUGCACUUACACUGUUGCAUUCCCACAGCAGUAGCACGGAUCAGUAAAUUUGAGCAAAAGACCUAUUUGAAACAGAGCCCACAAAAAAAAAUAAUAAUAAUAAUAAAAAAUAAAAAAAAUGACAUCAGCAACAGUAAACUACUCUUGCAAAUAACAGCAACGAAGUCUUAAAGCAAAGGUUGUCUGUGUCUAUAUAGAGGCAAUACUUAGUGUCUGUGUGAUAUACAAGGCAGCUUAUCUCUUUGAGAGCAGGAGACUAUAAAAAUACAAUUGCCAGAACGAAAGAAAAUUGAAGCUGAUUGCCAUAGCAACAAAAGAAUUACAUUGAUGAAACAGAAGCACAUAAAAUCCUUGUAUGCUACAUUAAAGACAAAGCAAUCUAAAGUAAACAAGAGUGGAAUGGAAUUUGUUUGGCUGGAGCUGGAAGUGACAAAUCUAUCCAGCCGAUGGAGGAAGAAAUGAUCCCACACGCAGGGAAGGAGCAGUCCUUUGAGGGCAGGGGUUCACCCCUCAAUUUCUUUCAGGAGCAAGAGCUGAGGGACAUAAGACUGUGGGUGCAGGGGACUUCCCAAGCUCUGAAGACAGAUAGUGGAAGGAGAUUCCCAAUCACGUGGUCAGUAACAUCCACCACCUCGCACCUGUCCUUUUGCACAGAUCUCCUGACUUUCUCCCUGAGUUUCCAAGGGAGAUUCCUCUCCCUUGAUGAAUUUCUCUCAGCUGGAUGAAACAAGCUGCUAAUGUGAAAAGGAGUUUUCUCUUUACAGCUGCUUUUCUUCAUAGAAUCAUGGAAUCGUUAAGAUUGGAAAGACCACUAGGGUCAUCCAGUCCAGCCAUCAUCCCAUCAGCAACACAACUCUAAAUGAUGUCAUUCAGUGUGACAUCUCCUCUUUUCUUGAAAACCUCCAGGGAUGGUGACUCCACCACCUCACUGGGCAGCCUGUGCAGCACUGCACUUUUGCCCUUUCAAUCAAAGUGACAUGGUGAGAUUGCAGGCACUGCAGCAGAACCAACAGAUAAUGCACUGGUGAAACAACAACUUCAAGCCUAUACAGCCAUUCAGCAGUUUUCUAAUGUGAGAAGCUGGGGGGGUUGAAGGUCCAGAACUCAAUAGCUCACAUAGCAUCAAAACGGCAGUGGCAGAUUCAGCAUAGUCCUGCAUUACUUUGCUGGGCUCUGUGCCUCUGUUCAGGGAUGGAUCAUUGUGCACCUGCUGGGGACUCUUACCUGCUGGAUCAUACUCACGGGUUUUCGGUUAGAUGAAUUUGUCUAUGAUACAAGCAACAGAAAACUGAGUUAUUGUUGUUGUAGUAUUAUGACAGAAGAAAAGGGAGCUCCUAUGUGAACCUCCAUGUACAAGAGAACAAGAACAGCUAUCCUUGAUAUCUGGAGAAAGGACACGUAAUCCAGGUCAAAUCCAUUUGAAGACCCAAAAUACUGGGAUAUAUUAAACUCCUGGGUUUGUUGCUGUUUUGGCAUUUAGGAAACAUUAAUUCAGACUGAAAUCUUGCUCUCCAUCUGGUAAACAAAAGAUAUCCAUGCAGAUCUGAGCUCUCUGGUGCUCUCUGAAAACCUGGUGUUUAACAGAUAACUGCAUUGUGCAGCAGUUCCAGCUACUGCAUUGAGAUGGCCCUGAGUUAUGAAGAGAAAAAUGCAGAUAACAAUUCUCCUGGUUUGCACUGAAUUAAAGCAUUCAAGGCCAGUUACAAUGGAUCACUUAUCACCCUGAAAAUUCUCUAACAUGCCUUGCAAGAAAAUUAAAAAUUCAAUGUGCC
ensembl:lncRNA